rnacentral:lncRNA from 1 species
GAGAAACAUUGCAAACAUGACUUCAGCUGCCAAAAAUAAUAAAGUCGUUUGCGAGCAGCUCUUCCUAUAUCUAAGGAAGAACUAACCACACGUGUGAGUUUUUGCUGGCUUAGGAAGAAGGAACAAGGAAAAUGACAAAUCCCACCCACCCCACCCUAAAAUGCGCAGGGAGUAUCAGAAUCCUGUGGGAAGCUGUGGCCCAUUCCAAAAGGUGCUGGCAAUGUUGAGGAAGACUCAUAUCCACAAAAUUCCAAAUGGUAAGUGACCCAGGACAAAGGGAUUUUAUUUGGCAGCUAAUCUGUGUUGUCACUUUCCCUGCAUAGCCAAGCUGCACUGUCUUGUGAAGGCAGAGCUGUUAAAUACCUCUUAGUCAACAGUCCUGACCCAAAUCUUCCUUUUUUUUUUCUUUUUUAAAUUUUAUCUGGCAUCUUCCCUUAAAGAAUCUUCAGGGUUCUGAAGGGAAUAUUCACAAAUAAUCCUUUAGAUAAGUUUCAUCACAAAAGCCCUGCACCUACCUCUGUCAAGUCUUAGCUGCUCAGUCUGCAUGGGCUGGAUGUGAAAAAAGAUCCGGUGUGAUGGCUUCUCCAAAUUUACCAGAAAGGACGGACCUGGGAUGCUUGUCCUUUAAGUGUCUCUAAGCAUGGUUUGCAUAGCUGGAUCUCAGCUUAUCUGUGCCUUUCGGCUUUCUCUUCCAUACAUGGAUCUGUUCCCAACAGUAACUCCAAGCUGUCGAAAAGAAGCUAUCUGGCAGCUCUCCGCUUCAUCCAACACAUGGAUGAUAAAAAUACACAUAUAGAGAUCUUUCCAGCCAGACCCAUUCCCUACCCCGUGAUCCUGCCACUAUGCGUUUUUGCAAAUACACUUUGGAGAUUGGCAUUUCUACUCUCCAGAUUUUAGGAGCACAGCCAAUUUCUACCUCAUUUCCACAUAAAGCUUUUAGGGUGUGGGUUUGUUUAGAUUUAGGAAAAUAGAGACAUAACUAUGGUUCAUUCUUGAAUCUUUUAGUAAUAGGAUGUUUAUGGGACCUGAGAAAUGUUUAGUGAAUGAAUCAAUUUGUAGAUGAAUGGCUGAAUAAAUGGGUAACAUUGUAUGUGAAUGAAUAAAUGUAUGCGGAAUGUAUUUAUUUAAUUGGGAAUGGUUGUUAACACCCUAUGUCAUUUGUCUUAAAGAAAAAAGUAGCAGAGGGUCAAAGUAAUCAAGAUCUGUAACAGAGGAGAGGCAGGUUCUUACUUAAACAGCUUCUUGUUGAGGCUACUGUGUGAAUCCCAUUAAGCUAUUCUCUAGUGCAUCCUUUGAAAUUCAGAAAACUUUUCUUUAAUGCUAAAGACUAUAUACCUGAACAGAAUACUAAUUGUUACAUUUGUUCAUUAUCAGUGAUAGUUUAAAUGAUACCUAUUGUACCCUAAUUCUUAAGCAGGGAAUAAAUCCUGCUCUGCAGAGGAAGAGGUACUCCAUGAGAGGGUUGCGUAACUUUCCAGUUUUUUUUAUUUUUAUUUUUUCAAUUUACCAUUUGCUUUAAAAGUUUUUCUUUCUUUUUCAAUUUGUUGUUACUCUUUCAUAACAAGAGGUCACAAUAUUGAGAGGGGGAAAUAGGAAGAGAGAAUUUCCCAGUAAUGAUUUUCCAUUGAUUAAUUAUUUUUUAAAAUCAUGUUAAAACAUGAUUUAACUUUGUUCUCUUGUUUGAGGAAAUAAAAAUAAAAUUGAGGCAUACGGGCAUAAUUUAUUUUAGUAUAUUGAUAAUGAAAUCAGUUUGCUUAAAAUACUCCAGAGGAAAAGGGGAGGGAGUAGAUCAAGGAUGAAGCAAGAUUGGCAAAAUGAUAAUUGUUAAAGUGGUGGUAGGUGUAUGGGGAUUCAUUAGAUUAUUUUCUCUCUUUUUAAAAAUUUAUUAAAAUUUUUAAGAAAAGUAGUGAAAAGAUUACCAAAAAUAUGUGUUAAUAGAAAAUAAGUACAAAACAGACACAUUAAGAGCAAAUUUGAGGAAUCUGAAAGUUGAGCAAUCUCUGUUGGAAAGAAGAUCAGAACAACCAGAACAAAAAAGGUGAGAAUAUGCUUUUUUAAAUUCAAAAUAUUAUGAUAUUCUGAUUUCCUCCUCCCUGCUCCCCAUCAGAACUAUUCUGUAUAUUAUAUUAUAUCUAAGGAAAAUUAAGAUGUGAUUGUUUAACAAGCCAACCUCAUAUAGUCUCAUGCUAAACAUGGUCAGGAGACAUUCAAUACCCCUCCUUUUUUUGCCUUUUUUCUAUUUUUUAAGUCCAAAUGCUAGACAUUUAUUUUAUUGUGCCUUAUAGCCAGGAAUGACCGUGCAAGAGUGGCCUGACUAUGCAGGUGUCAACAUGAGUCGGAGGGAAGUUUUUAUUCAUCUGCCAAAUGCGGACAGGCUGAGCAUUUGCUCGUCUUAUUCCUGAACUCUUCUCACCUAUUUCAUUCCCACAGAGCAAACUUGAAGCCAUAUGAAGGGGGAGAAAACCCUCAUAUUUAAUACAAAAUCCAAUUCUAUAUUAUGAGCUCAGGACUCAAAUUAAAAGACUAUGUCUGGUUCUUGCUUUACUUACUAGGUGUAUAUUGUUGAGCACGUCACAGAUCAAUGUUUCCUCCUCAGUCAAGCGAACACUUGAUCUCCUUAGCAUAGACUUAUCCUAUGAAAGAAUGCAGGUGAUGCAUCUUCAUACAUCAUAAGGAAUGAUAUCAAUGUAAGGUAUUGACUAUUUAAUAUAUGAGGUAGUCAAUACAUAAGACCCACAGUGACUCCACAGCUAAAUAUAACAGGGCUCUGGAGUCUGGAGUCUGCUUUCUGUUCAGAGAAGAAUUUGCAGACACUUUGAUUGGCUUAAUUUCAAACCUCUUGGGAAUUCUGCUCUGCAGUUAGGAAAAUCCAAGGUAUGGGGGGUUUGUAUAUUCCCAAUUGUGUUUGUGCAGUUUGGGGUUAACAAAUGAGGUUGGCCUGUUCUUAGUAAUGUUUGCUGUGGAAGUGGGCCGGUUUCCCCCUUCUCAGAUAGGCAGUACUCCAGGGAAAGAGAAGGCUCCAGAGACUCAUUUCUAUUCUUCUCUUUCCCAGCUGUGGAGAAUGUGUGGGGUUCAUGUAUAGGAAAAGAUCUUCAGAUAAAGAGGUUAAAAUCUUAUCAUGUUUCCAGAGAAACAGGUCAGAUGGUUUCCUGUGAGCCUUGUAAAUGUGGAAAUCAGGAUUUUAAUUUAUAGACAUCUAUUUUCCUAACUCCGAGGGGGAAGAAUAGAGUACAGUUAUCUGGGCACAUGCAAUUUCCUGUGGGCACUUGGCUGUGACUCUCAAUGGAAUAUUCUGCACCUUCACUCAAAAAGAUAUGCACACAGCUUGCACGGUGGUGCAUGCUUGUAAUCCCAGUAGCUUGGGAGGCUGAGGCAGGAGGAUCCUGAGUUCAAAGACAGCCUUAGCAAUUUAGCAAGGUCCUAAGCAACUUAGUGAGAACUUGUCUCAAAAUAAAAUUUAAAAAAUAAAAUAAAAUAAAAUAAAAAAAUUUAAAAAAGGGCUGAGGAUGUGGCUCAAUGGUUAGGUGCCCCAGAGUUCAACCCCCAGUAUCAGAAAAAACAACAACAAGUAUAUGCUCACAUCCACACCCAUUUCAACUGAACCAGAAGAACACGUUCUGAGUCUUUUGCCCUAGCUCAGUAUCUCUUUUUUUGCCUGAAGUUUUUUACUAACCUCACCAUCAAGCAUUCUAAAGGAGGGAUUAUGUUUGACCCCACGUCUCUCUGCUUUGGGACAUUCAAUUGUGAACUUCUGGAGGAUGGAGGCUUUGGGCUAUUUGUUUUUUUAAAUCCCCAGUAUCCAUCAGUAUUUGUCAUAUAGUAAACAAACCUUAAGAUAAGUUUGUUGAUGAAUUAAAUGUGCUGCUAAGUGAGUGAAAAAUGGGUAAAUGGUAUUUAACUCUGAAUUAGUAACCAUUAUUUUGGCAGAUGUCCCAUUGUAUAAGGUAGAAGAACCUCAAAUACCCUACUCUUUACCUGGAUAAAGACUCAACUUACUUUUUCCUCUCUAGCUUUCACUUGAAAAGAAAAAGAUCAGUAGAGUGGAGGGAGAUGAUUAAGGGAGAGAGAGGAAGGGAGGGUAAGGGGAAAAAGGGAAAUAAAAUCAACCAAAUUAUGCUAUUAUUUUUGUUUGAAUAUAUGACAGUGAAUUCAUAUAUUUGAUGAAAAAUUAUAAUGCACCAAUGGGAGAAUGUGUUUAAAUAAAUACAUGGAAAAGUAGAAGAGUAGAGGAAGUGGAAUGAGGGAAGGGAGGUGGAAGGGAAAAUUAUGUUACUGGGGAAUUCAUUGGAACAAAUUACAUUCUGUGCAUAUAUGAACGUGUCACAAUGGACCCCACUCCUAUGUAUAAUUAUAAUGUACUAAGAAAAGCAUAAAAAGACUCAACUCAAGAUAGUUAAGAAAAAGAACAUACAAAAAUAUGAACAACAUCCCGGGAUAGCCAGGCAGUUUACCUUAGAUUUUCGGUUACUCAAGGAAGUGGGCCAUGAUGUUAGCCUGGGUCAUCUGAAAUGGAUGCCUGACACAAAUUGUUGGUAGGGAAGAAAGAAGGGAGGACUGGAAUAUUUUAAAAGAUCACAGAUAUUCAAUUCUUGGUGAUUUAAGUUUUUUCUUCCUUUUUAGAGAAUAUGGGGGAAAUCUUUUAUAAAAGACUUGGUGAGGCAUACAUCAAGUUUUUAGGCAAACAAAUAGGGAUACAUCUGCUUUCAAGAUUAAAAGCAAUUAUAUUUAACAAAUAAGCAGAUAUUCAAGUAAAUGAUUCCUAUGCAUAUGUUUAUUCUGAAUUUACCAAGUCAGAAUCUUAUAAGUAAGGGGCUAAAUUUAGGGAUGAGGGAAUACAUCUCCAGGUUGCGGGUCUUGGUUGUAUGAAGAAAUAAAAUUCAUGACUAGAAACGAGAAAAAGAGAUUAAGCAAGGCUCCUACUUACCACUGCAGGACUAGCUCCAAACCUUACCCCUUGAAGGUUUUCUUAAUCUGUCUCCAGAACCAUUGACAAAGGAAAUUUAAGAUUUUUUUCUCAGCUGGGUUCCCUUAGCACAAUGCCUUAUGUUAUACAUUGAAAUGUCUUCUUUCUCAUUGUAAUUGUUAGAAGACCUUGUGAAGAAUUGCAAUUAAUUUUUCUUGAAAUGUUUGGUAGAAUUCAUUGGUGAAGUCAUCUGGGUCUUGGAGUUGUUUUAAUGGACAGCUUUUGUUUACAAAUUCAAUCUCUUUACUUAUUAUAAGUCAAUUCAAAUUAUUCUAGCGUCAGUUGUAUCUUUCUAGGAUUUUGUCCGUUUCAUUAGUUAUCUAACUUGUUAGCAUAUAAUUGUCUAUAGUAUUCUUUUAAUUUCUGCAAGAGAACACCAAUGUACUUUGGGGUUUGUUAUAUUUAAUAGACAUAAUGCAUACAACAACAGACCCCAUAGUAAGAGGAAAAAGGAAUAUAAUUUUAUCAAAUUUAUCAAAAUUGGCAUCAGAGUAAAACUAGUCUAAUUGUAGUGAUAUGUAUUUUAGUCUCUCUACCCUUACUUUUGUAUUCUUAUUGUUAUACAUGUUACGUCUAUACUGUGUAUAUGUAAAUUAUAUAUUCAAAUUUUUGCAUUGAUAGUGUCUAUUGUGAUUACACAAUUACUUUUUUUUAAAGAGAGAGAGAGAAUUUUUUUAAUAUUUAUUUUUAUUUAGUUUUUGGUGGACACAAUAUCUUUAUUUUAUUUUUAUGUGGUGCUGAGGAUCAAAUCCAGUGCUCUGCACAUGCCAGGCGAGCGUGCUACUGCUUGAGCCACAUGCCCCCAGCCCCACAAUUACUUGUUCACAUUAUGUUCUGGUGUCACUUGCUUUCAGAUUAAAGAAUUUCUGUUAGUAUUUCUCAUAAGGUAAGUCUGCUAGAAAUAAAUUUUCUCCAUUUCUGCUCAUCUGUAAAAAUAUUUUCAUUUUCCUUUAAAAGUUAGCUUUCCUGAUUAUAGGAUUCUUGAUUGACAGUCUUUUCUUUGAACAAUUUUCAUGUGCUGUCCCACUGCCAUCUAGCUCUAUUGUUUGCACUGACAAAUUGACUGUUAAUCUUACUGACAGUCUCUUCUCAGUGAUACAUUGUUUUUCUCUUGGCACUUUCAAGAGGAGCCCCCAUUUUUUACUUUCAGGAUUUUUUCAUGAUGUGUUGAUUUGUGGAACUCUUUACCCUUACUCUAAUUUGAGUUCAUUGAGGUUAUUGUUUGUUGAUAAAUUUGAGAAAUUUCAAUCACUAUAUCUUCAAAUGUAUUUUCUUCUCUUUUCUCUCUCUCUCUUCUCUUUCUGAUACUCCCAUCAUGUGUAUGUUUGUACAUUAAUGAUAAACCACAGUUCUCUGAAGCUCUGUUCACUUUUCCUAUGUUCUUCAUUUAUAUUAUUUCCAGUGGUCUAUUUUCAGGUUCAUUAAAUAUUUCCUCUAGUUCAAAUCUAGCUUUGUGCUCUUCUAAUGAAAUUUUAAUUUUAGUGAUCAUUCUACUGCUUCAGAAUUACCAUUUGGCUCUUAUUAAUAAUUUGUUUGAUAUUUUUUCUGACCCCAGAAGCAUUCAUCGCAGCUGUCUUAUUGCCCAUUUUUUUUUCUCCUGUAGAUUACCUGAACUACAGACUAGGCUAUAUCUUAAUAAGAUGAUCAUGAACCUCCUUCCAAUCUCCUUUCACUAAAAACUCCACUGUUCUUGAGAAUACCCUUAAGCUUAAGUUGCUUCAUUCUCAGUAGAAAAUGAAGUGUCAUUUCCUCUGAAAAAAAAAUUAGAGCCAUCUGUUUUACGGCUUGCUUCUCUUCUCAGGAAAAUUUUCUAAGUGAACACUCUGAAGCUGAGCACGGGAAUAAUAAUAUCAAGAAUCUCUCUAAGUCACUCAUGUUUUAGCAAUGGAGAAACUGGUGGAGGGAGAGGGACUCCAUCCUGAGGCCCCUCGAAUUGUUUCUUCUGUUACAGAAUAAUCACCGUUUCAAGAGCAGGGGUAGGGGCAGGGGCUAUUAGGGUCUCAGUAUUCUUAGCAGGUAAAUCCUCUAUUUUAAGGGUAGUGAUUGGGAAGGGAGUCGGCAACUCACUCUUGAUUAUACUUGCUCAGGACUUAGCCUCAGCAACAGGCCGUUAGCAACUAGAUGAUAAACACUGAAGUCUUGCUGCUCCCCAAAAGAACAUGUUUCAGUUGGAGCAUAGAGAAGCAGAAGCCCUGAAUUCUUGGUUCCAGAAGUCUGGAGUAGAAAUUCUACCUUGCUGAGCUGGGAAAGGAAAAAGAGAGGAAGCAUUCUUGAUUCAGAUACCAAAGACUCUUGCCUUUCUUACUGGAUUUUCAUGAAUUGAUAUUUCUCCAUUUGCCGUCUGCCCUUAAAAUAAUUUCACAGUCUUGACUUAUUAAAAAGCAAAGCAAAACAUAACAACAACAAUAGCAACAAAACCUUUGACCAGUUUCUCUGGAGAGUGAAUCAGAGAAGCUCCAAAUGUUGUCAUGCCAGAACUUGAUCAUGCCCAGAUGUCUUUCAUAACCCAUAUCAGGCUGUAAUGUGGUUUAAGAGCCUCAAGGGCAUAAAGCAUUUCUUUUUCACCUUCUGAUCUUAGAGUCUAGGAAUCUCUGGUGUGCAUGAGAUACUCAAUUAAAUUUUGCUGAAUUACAUUUUGAAAAGCUUAAACAUGACUUUAUUUUUACAUUUUGAAGUCUUCAAAGAGGUUGUACUUUCACUACUUAAUUAUGUCACCAAAGAUUAUUUCAGUUUAUAAUCUAGAGUAUAAAAUCAGAAAAUUAAAAUUAUUUACCCAUCAAUCCACAGAAAGUUGGUUUCCUCAUUUAAGAUAUCAUGAGGCAGAAAAAUCUGUCUCAUAACUACCAGGAAUGCCAGUACUUGCUUUAAUUAUAAAGGGCUGAAAUUUGAUCUCCCCCAAUUCCCAAAAGUAUAAGAAAAAAACAUUUUCUACUUCUCUUGGUAUUAUUGCUGCUCAGGUGAAGUUAGCCAACCCCUCAAGCUGAAAGCAAGCAGCUUUUCCUUAAAGAGUCCACUAAUCUAAAAGUAUCUUUUCUCUUGUUACUGAUGUAUUUCUACAAUUUGCAGUUGUCAACAUUGCUUCAAAAUAGGAUGGAGAAUGUAACCAGAAAGUCUUAAAACCAGCAGUUCCACUCAAUCCAGGUAAAAUGAUUACAGUACUACUUGAUGAAGAAAAUUGAAGUAAUGAUUUAUUUUGGCCCAAAUUUACCAUUUAUCCACCUUACAAGUGAAGCGAACAGAUGGCUGGUUAAGAUUGAGCAAAAGAGACACAGGUGUUCAGAUCCCACAGCUGUCCUCAAGACCACAUGAGGAAAUAAAGUAGCAAGGAUCAUUAUCACAUCAGCCCUCCAGUUUUACAAUGGGCAAUUAACUUUUGAGAGUUAUCCUAUUUCCAGGCUACUGUGCUCACUUCUGUCAGUUUAAGUUCCCAAGGCCAUGCUUUUAUCAAUUUCUUUCACCUACCCUGACACAGUUAUUUUUUCCUUCUAUGAAUUUUUGCUUUAAUUCUUGCUUUUGUAAAAAAAAAGUAAGAAAGAAAGAAAGAAGAAAGAAAGAAAAGAAAAGUUGUAAACGUUGUAUUAUUUCUUGUUACUUUUUUUUUUGGUGGGGGGAGGGUACUGGUGAUUGAAUGGAGCCUCACACAUGCUAGGCAAGUUCUGUACCACUGAGCCAUAUCCCAGAGAGAUUCUAAGGUCUCUGUACAAGAUUCAUACUCAUUUUAAAACCUUGAGAUAUUUAUCCUGAUGUAUUUGUAAUGUGAUGAUAGGUACAUAAUAAAUAUUUACAUUAUGCACUGAAUGAAUCUAAUGAUGACAUAAGAUAUAUACAAUUUUAUAUUGCAAUAACAAAUGGUUUCUAAUAGAAAUGAGUCUACCUAAAUGCAAAAAAGGGACAACACCUUUGGUAGAGAAAUACAUCUCUAAACCCCAGUAAAUACUUUGCUAAUCUACUUUGAGAAUUCAAGCAGGCACUUGUUAUACACGGAGAUGAUUCUGACUCAUUCGUGUAUAUUUGGUUUAUGUAAACUGUAAAACAUAGAUGUCAGUAUAUUUAGAGCCAUUUUUAAGAGGAAGAAGUGGAUUUUGGAUUUCACUCGUGAAGUAAAGACUGGACCAUCUCAUUUGUACAGUAUAAGUGAAAAACAUUAUACUCUAUGUAAAAAAAAAGCAGCAUCUAUAAAGCUGUAUCACCACCACCACCUUACCUUCAAAAAUUAAGCCCCAUUGAUUUAUAAUCAAACCAAUGCUAUUAUGAAGAUCUUUAACUUUACCAGCAUUCUAUUCUUGCAUCUCAUAUAUUUUAAACAGAAUGUUGUUUUGAUCUGUGAAUAUUAAUUUUUAAGUGAAUUUAAGGUUGUGGUUGAUUUGGUACCUUAUAUUUUUGUAAGCACAUGCCUUUGAAAUAAUUCAACUGGUCCAAGAAAGCUUGACAAAGGCAGAAAAUGUCUUUCAAUGUGUGUAACAGACAAAAGUGAGUUAUUUUGGAAGACUGUAACAGCUUUACAUUUGUCUCUCACUCAAAACUUCAAUAGCUAUAGAGACUUCUUUGAAGACUGUAAAAAAAACAAGGAUGCCCCUAUAUAAGGCAACUUCUGGAUCAUCUGUCUUUUUGGGCAUAAGCCUUUCUUUGGGGGAUUUAAUAGUGAAGCUACUAUAGAAUAUUUCACAUUUCCUUUCUUGUGGCUCAAGGUGAAUUCAAUUACUUUGAUAAAAUGGUUAAUAAUGAUAAGUCAUUCUAGUUGAAUUAAGUUUAAUUACUUGGAUUUUUAUACCAACACCAUCACAAAUACUAAGUAUAAGAGAAAAAAUUAUGCUAAUCUUGAAUUUUAGCCCACCCGUCUCUUGAAAAUCAAAAUCUCUACUCUGGUUCAAAUUUUAUUCUUAUAGUAGCUGUGAAUGGCUUUUUCUUUUUAUAACAGUGAGGCAUCAUUUUCAUGUUAAGCUUCAUCUGGGCAAUUAGGUAUGUCUCUUGCCUCUAUCAUAUUAUAAUUGUGGAUAAUAAAUUUUACUUGACAAUGAAUCUAGAAAUGCUUAAUCAACAGUGUUGCUGCAACACCUUAAUUGCUGACAGAUUUUACAGCCUCCCUUAUCAGUUUUUCUCUCUUCUUCAUUUUGUUUUUGUUACAUGGCAAGUCAGGAUGAGUGAUGAAUGAAGGAUGUAGGUGUGAUGUCAAUAGAGUUGUAUCAAGAACUGUGAAGGUUCUGAGAUUUUACCUUACUUACAAAUUAGUAAGUUUGCCUGACAUAGUUUAAUGGAUUCUGGAAGAAAACAUAGGACUUCUGGCUCAGAGACAAAGGACAUAAGGAAUCCUGGCAUAGCAAGAAGCAUGGACAUCAACAAAAUUACAUCAGUUCUUCUAGGUCUCUGCCCAGAUGUGGUAAUCAGCCCCACAUGGAUGCCUUCCCACAUACAGGAAAAUAAACUUGAUCUUAGGGAACCUGAAUGUUUUAUAAUGGGUAGUCAGUUUGAGUGUCUUUUGCCCUAGGAGAUCUCAUCUUUUUUAAAAAAAAUAUAUUCUUAGUUGUAGUUGGACACAAUAAUUUUAUUUAUUUAUAUUUAUGUGGUACUGAGUAUUAAACCCAGAGCCUGGCACAUGCUGGGUGAGUGCUCUACUGCUGAGCCAUAACCCCAUGCCCAAGGCAUGUUACUAGCCUUGUGCUCCAGAGGGAAACAUUGUUUCUAUAUUCCAAGGGCACUCCCUAUUAGAAUAUCCUUAAAAAUAGAAUCCCAAAUAAAGAAAGUUAGUGCUUCUGCUUGGCAGAUAUGCAGAACAUAAGAGACAUCUGGAGAAUUCUCUCCUAAGAAGUUGUAGAGACAACUUUAUGGUAAUCAUAGGCUACAGUGUGUGUUCAAAAAGAUAAAAGGAGAUUGAGAUAGCUUGGGUACAACAGGAUUUGGGAAUAGAGAUGAAGACAGUUUCCUAUUAAUAGCCUUUCCUAUUAAUAGCUGCUCAUUACAAGGAAAGGAGCCUAUAAUCCUAGCAACUCCUGAGGCAGGAAGAUUGUGAGUUCAAAGCCAGCCUCAACAAAAAAAGCAAAGUGCAAAGUAACUCAGUGAGACCCUGUCACUAAAUAAAAUACAAAAUAGGUCUAGGGAAAUGGCUCAGUGUUUGAGUGCCCCUCCUGAGUUCAAUCUCCACUACCCAAACAAAACAAACCCCCCCCCCCAAAAAAAAAGGAAAUGAAGUCAGGAGCAAGGUAGAAGAUACUUUUUGUUGGCAGCAUUAACAUCUCCUUUUUCAUCCCUAUCAAGCUUUACAUUCAGAUUUUUAUUCCUAGCUACUCCUGAUGGGAAAUAGGUACACACACACUGUAUGAAAUCCAAUAAGUAUAGUUGGAACAAAUUAUGUAUAUAAAUUUAAUCAAGGAAUCCCAGAAAUAUUUGAUUAUGCUGCCUUUAAGGACACAUAUAUAAAUACAGCAUUUUUCAAUUACUAGAACCAGAUGCAAAAUGUGCAACCCAAUUACUUUCAUAUUCCCUAUUACAGAAAUGUUAUGAACUUUAAUGAAGAAAUUAUUCAUAAAGAUUAUUGUUAAAAUGAAUGUUUAUUCAUGUUAUGAGGAAGGUUAACUCCAUCUGAUGGUAGCAUCAGGUCUGAAAAGAACUGGGAAUGGGAAAAAUCACUAAGAUUUAGAGUAUAAUCACAGCAGCUCAGGAGGACCUCACUUAACAUGGGAAUUGGCUUUUUCCUUCUAAGUUAAAAAAAAACAAACCUCUGGGGACCCUGCAUCAAAUAAUCUUUUUAUAUUAGAUUUUGUAUUACACGAAUCUUGAAAAUUAAACUUUAUGAUGAAAUAAUUACAGACACAAAUGCAUUUGUAAGACAUACUGUUGAGAAAUCUAGUGUACCUUUGCUCAUUUUUCUAAAUAGAUGCAUCAUGAAAAAUUAUAGCACAAGAUCAUAACCAGGAUAUCGACAGGAUCACUGUCAAGGUACACAACACUUUUAUCACUGCAAGGAUCCUUCACGUUGCCUUUUAUAGCCUCACCCUCUUCCCUAUCACAUCUAGUUUGACUCCUAGCAAGUACUAAUGUGUUCUUUAUUUCUGUAAUGUUGUCUCAAGAAUAUUAUAUAGAUGGAAUGAUAUUGUAUGUAACUUUUGGAUUUUUCAUUUAGCAUAAUCCCUUGGAGAUUCAUUCAGUUUAUUUGUAGGUAUAAAUAUAUAUUGGAUGAUAUAGAUAUACUAUAGUUUCUUUAACUAUUAACCUAUUGAAGUACAUUUGAGCUGUUUCUAUUGUUCAGCUGUUACAAAGUUGCUUUUGGACUUUUGUGUAAACAUAAACUUUUUAUUUCUCUAGAACAAAUGCCACAAGUAUAAUUGUUGGAUCAUACAGUGGCAGCAUGUUAAUUAUCUUAAGAAACUACCAAGCUGUCUUUUAGACAGUCUAUAAAAUCUUGCAUCCCCAUCAGCAAUUAUGAGUAAUUCUCUUUUUCUUAAUCCCUAUAACCAUUUGGCUACAAGUUAUUAUAGACAUAUAAUAAUCCCUCAUUGUGGUUUUAAUUUAUAUUUAUCUAAUGGGUAACAAUUUGAUUAUCUGUUAUAUGCUUCUUUGCCAUAUCCUCUUUGAUGAAAUGCCUUUGUUUUUAGGCCAUACUCCAAAUGGAUUUUUAUGAAACUAUUGAUUUUGAGAGUUCUUAGGUAUUAGUCCUUUGUAAGAUAUAUCAUUUACUUAUAUUUUAUCCAUGGCUGUGGAUUCUCUCUCCAACUAUUUAACAAUCUUUAUAGAGUAUCAUUAAAAAAAUUAAUAGUAGGAAUUGAAUCUAGGGGUGCUUAACCACUGAGCCACAUUCCUAACCUGUUUUUAUUUUGAGGCAGGGCCUUGCUAAGUUGUUUAGGGCUGACAUUCAACUUUAGAUUCUCUUGCCUCAGUCUCCUGAGCUGCUGUGAUUAUAGGUGUGAAAUACAACUUGGCUUAGUUUUUAAUUUUGAUAAAUCCCAGUUUAUCAUUUUCAUGAAUCGUGCUUUGGUGUUAAGUCUAAGAACCAUUUUCCUGGAUCUAGGUAAAGAUCAUUCCUAUGUGGUUUUUCUUCCUAAAGGUUAUAUAGUUUUUGUUUUAUAUUUAAGUUUGAUUCAUUUUGGAAUAAUUUCCAUAGAAUACAUAAGGUAAAUUAGCUUCAUAAAAUUAAUUGGAAAGUAUUAUAUCAUCUUCUAUUUUAUGGCAAAUGUUACAUAGAAUUGCUGUUAAUUUUUUCUUUGAACAUUUUGUAGAGUUCUCCAUUGAAACCAUCUAAUCUUGGAGAUUCUUUUGGGAGGGAAUCUUAAAACUAUAUAUUCAAUUGCAUUGGUAUGUAUUGGGCUUUUCAAAUAAUUGUUUCAUUUUGGAUGAGUUGUAAUGAUUUGUGUUUUUUUCUUUUUAUAAUAUAUAUUUUUUAGUUUUAGGUGGACACAAUAUCUUUAUUUUACAUUUAUGUGGUGCUGAGGAUCAAACCCAGUGCCGCAGUCUAGCUGGGCAAAAUAAGCGGGAGGUGACAAGCAACUUGCAGGUUGAAGCGGGAACUGCUUUAUUGCGAAAGAACUCAGCGGGAACUCAAGGUAGCGGGCACCCAAGGUAGCAGGAGCCGCUUUAUUGCUGGUCAGCAGAGGUAUAUAUACACCUAACUGAUUACACACAGCUUGACUCAAUUAGCAUCAUCCAGAUACAGUAAUCAGCCAGUAAGGAAUCCCUACCAUCUAAAUGGCUCAGUGGCAUUGCCUCAUAAAACACUCCUCCUGGCAAACUUCCAGGCGCCAUCUUGACUUGGUUGUGGCCUCCAAUAACCCAGUACCUCAUGCAUGCUAGGCAGUCACUCUACCACUGAGCCACAACCCCAGCCCAAUGAUUUGUGUUUUUCAAGGAAUUUAUCUUGUUGCUUAGGUAUUGCUGAGUCUUUCUGGCUGUGAUGGUUGUCCAGUUAUUCCACUAAUUUUUGAGAGAGGACUUUGUAGUUGUUGAUUUUUCUUUCUUUUUUGAUUUUAAAUUUUUUUAGUUAUUCUAAUUUGUUAUAGUUGAGAGCAGAAUGCAUUUCAAUUCAUAGUACACAUAUAGAGCACAAUUUUUCAUGUCUCUGGUUGUACACAAUGUAGAGUCACACCAUUCGUGUCUUCAUACAUGUACUUAGGGUAAUAAUGUCCAUCUCAUUCCACCACAUUUCCUACCCCCAUGUCCCCUCCUUUCCCCUUUCUCCCCUUUGCCCUUUCUAAAGUUCCUCCAUUCCUCCCAUUCCUUCCCUCCAUCCCCAUUAUUGAUCAGCAUCCACAUAUCAGAGAAAACAUUUGGCCUUUGGUUUUGGGGGGAUUGGCUUACUUCAUGUAGCAUAAUAUUCUCCAAUUCCAUCCAUUUAACUACAGUUGCCAUGAUUUUAUUCUCUUUUAAUGCUGAGUAAUAUUCCAUUUUGUGUAUAUGCCACAUUUUUAAAAAUCUAUUCAUCUAUUGAAGGCCAUCUAGGUUGGUUCCAUAGUUUAGCUAUUGUGAAUUGUGCUGCUAUAAACAUUGAUAUGGCUGAUUCCCUGUAGUAUGCUGUUUUUAAGUCCUUUGGGUAUAGACCGAGGAGUGGGAUAGCUGGGUCAAAUGGUGGUUCUAUUCCCAGUUUUUCAAGGAAUCGCCAUACUGCUUUCCGUAUUGGCUGCACCAUUUUGCAGUUCCACCAGCAAUGUGAGUGUGCCUUUUUCCCCACAUCCUCACCAACACUUAUUGUUGUUUAUAUUCUUAAUAGCUGCCAUUCUGACUGAGAUGAAAUCUUAGUUUACAUUUGCAUUUCUCUAAUUAAUAGAGAUGUUGAACAUUUUUUCAUAUAUUUGUUGAUUGAUUGUGUAUCUUAUUCUGAGAAGUAUCUGUUCAGUUCCUUGGCCCAUUUAUUGAUUGGGUUUUUAUUUAUUUAUUUAUUUAUUUAUUUAUUUAUUUAUUUAUUUAUUUAUUUAUUUUUGUGUUAAUUUUUUUGAGUUCUUUAUAUAUCCUAGAGAUUAGUGCUCUUUCGGAUAUGCAUGUGGUAAAAUUUUGCUCCUAUUCUGUAGGCUCUCUCUUUGAUUUAUUAAUUGUUUAUUUUGAUGAAAAACUUUUCAGUUUGAACCCAUCCCAUUUAUUGAUUCUUGAUUUCAUUUCUUGCACUAUAGGUGUCUGUUGGGGCCUAAUCCGACAUGAGGAAUAUUUAGGCCUACUUUUUCUUCUAUUAGGCAUAGGGUCUCUGGUUUAAUUCAUGGGUCCUUGAUCCACUUUGAGUUGAGUUUUCUGCAUGGUGAGAGAUAGGGGCUUAAUUUUAUUUGGCUGCAUGUGGAUUUUCAGUUUUCUUAGCACCAUUUGUUGAGAGGCUAUCUUUUCUCCAGUAUAUGUUUUUGGCAGCUUUGUCUAGUAUGAGAUAACUUUAUUUAUUUGGGUUUGUCUCUGUCCUCUAUUCUGUAUAACUUGUCUACAAGUCUAUUUUGGUGCCAAUACCAUGCCAUUUUUGUUACUAUUGCUCUGUAGUAUAGUUAAGGUCUGGUAUAGUGAUGCCACCUGCUUCACUCUUCUUACUCAGAAUUGCUUUAGCUAUUUUAGGUUUCUUAUAUUUCCAAAUAAAUUUCAUGAUUGCUUUUUCUAUUUCUAUGAAGAAUGACAUUGGGAUUUUAAUAGGAAUUGCAUUAAAUCUGUAUAGUGCUUUUGGUAGUAUGGUAAUUUUGACAAUAUUAAUUCUGCCUGUCCAAGAACAAGGAAGAUAUUUCCAUCUUCUAAGGUCUUCUUUAAUUUCUUUCUUUAGUGGUCUGCAGUUUUCAUUGUAGAGGUCCUCCACCUCUUUUGUUACGUUGAUUCCCAAAGUUUUUUUUUUUUUUUUUUGAGGCUAUUGUAAAUGGGAUAGUUUUCCUAACAGAGGAUUUGUUACCAAUGUACAGAAAUGCCUUUGACUUAUGGGCAUUGAUUUUAUAACCUGUUACGUUGCUGAAUUCAUUUAUUAGUUCUAGUAGUUUUCUGGUGGAAUUUUUUGGAUCCUCUAGGUAUAGAAUCAUGUCAUCAGCAAAUAGUGAUAUUUUGAGUUAUUGUUUUCCUAUCCAUGUCCAUUUAAUUUCUUUCAACUAUCUAAUUGCUCUGGCUAGAGUUUCAAGAACUACGUUAAAUAGCAGUGGUGAAAGAGGGUAUCUCUUUCUUGAUCCAGUUUUUAGGGGGAAUGCUUUCAAUUUUUGUCCAUUUAGAAUGCUAUUGGCUUGGGGCUUAGCAAAUAUAGCUUUUACAAUGUUGAGAUAUUGUUCUGUUAUCUCUAGUUUUUCAAGUGUUCUGAAUAUGAAGGGGUGCUGUAUUUUGUUUAAUGCAUUUUCUGCAUCUAUUGAGAUGGUAAUAUGAUUUUUAUCUUUAAGUCUAUUGAUGUGAUGAAUUACAUUUAUUGAUUUCUGUAUGUUGAACCAACCUUGCAUUACUGGGAUGAACCCCACUUGAUCAUUGUGCACUAUCUUUUUGAUCUGUUUUUCUAAUCGAUUUGCCAGAAUUUUAUUGAUUUUUUUUUUUUUGCAUUUAUGUUCAUUAGAUAUAUUAAUCUGAAGUUUUCUUGCUUUGAUGUGUCUUUGUCUGGUUUUGAAAUCAAGGUGAUAUUGGCCUCAUAGAAUGAGGUUGGAAAUGUUUCUUCUUUUUCAAUUUCAUGAAAUAAUUUGAGGAGUAUUUGUAUUAGUUCUUCUUUGAGGGGCUUGUAGACUCAGCUGUGUAUCAAUCUGGUCCUUGGCUUUUCUUGGUUGGUAGGCUUCUGAUGGCAUCUUCUAUUUCAUUGCUUGAAAUUGAUCUGUUUAAAUUGUGUAUAUCAUUCUGAUUCAGUUUUGGCAAGUUAUAUGCCUCUAGAAAAUUGUCAGUGUCUUGGAUAUUUUCUAUUUUAUUACAGUACAAGUUUUCAAAAUAAUUUCUAACUAUCUUCUGUAUUUCUGUAGUGUCCUUUGUGAUAUUUUCUUUUCCAUUACCAUGUUAGUGAUUUGAGUUUUCUCUUUCCUGUUCUUCGUUAGCAUGGCUAAGGGCUUAUCAAUUUUAUUUAUUCUUUCAAAGAAUCAACUUUUUGUUUUAUCGAUUUUUUUCAAUUGUUUCUUUUCUUUCAAUGUCAUUGAUUUCAGCUGUGAUUUUAAUUAUUUUCUGUCUUCUACUGCUUUUGGUGUUGGUUUGUUCUUCUUUGUCUAGGGCUUUGAGAUCUAAUGUUAGGUCAUUUAUUUGUUGACUUUUUCUUUUUUAAGGAAUGAACUUCAUGAAAUGAACUUUCCUCUUAGUACUGCCUUCACAGUAUCACAAAGAUUACAAUAUGUAGUAUCAUUGUUCUCAUUUACCUCUAAGAACUUUUCAAUCUCCUCUUUGAUGUCUUCUGUAACCCGUUUUUCAUUCAGUAGCAUAUUAUUUAUUCUCCAGGUGUUGGAGUAAUUUCUAUUUUUUCUUUUACAAUUUAUUUCUAAUUUAAUUCCAUUAUGAUAUAAUAGAAUGCAGGGUAGAAUUAUCUCUACUUUUUUGUAUUUGCUAAGAGUUGUUUUAUGGCAUAAUAUAUGGUCUAUUUAGGGAGAGAUCUGUGUGCUGCUGAGAAGAAAAUGUAUUCACUCAUGGAUGAAUGAAAUAUUCUCUAUAUGUCUGUUUCGUGUAAGUUAUUUAUUGUGUUAAUGAGUUCUAUAGUUUCUUUGUUUAACUUUUGUUUAGAAGAUCUGCCCAGUGGUGAAAGAGGUGUUUUAAAGUCACCCUGUAUUAUUGUGUUGUGGUCUUUUUGACUCUUGAAGUUGAGAAGUUUAUUGAUGAACAAAGCUGCUCCAUUGUUUGGGGCGUAUAUAUUUAUAAUUUUUAUGUCUUGUUGAUGUAUGGUUCCCUUAAGCACUAUGAAAUGUCCUUUUUUAUCCCUUUUGAUUAACCUUGGCUUGAAUUAUACUUUAUUUGAUAUGAGGAUGGAAACCUCUGCUUUUUUUCCACAGUCCAUGUGAGUGGUAUGGUUUUUUGUUUUUUCUCCCAACCUUUCACCUUCAAUCUGUGGACGUCUUUUCCUAUGAGAUGAGUCUCUUGAAGGCAGCAUAUUGUUGGGUCUUUUUAAAAAAUCCAAUCUGCCAGUCUAUAUCUUUUGAUUGGUGAGUUAAGACCAUUAAUAUUCAGGGUGAUUAUUGAGGCAUGAUUUGUAUUCCUGGUCAUUUUUGCUUAUUUUUGGUAUUUAACUUGACUUUGUUUUUCCUUUGAUUGGAUUUUUCUUUAGUGCAAUACCUCUCAUUGCUGAUUUUCAUUGUUGUUUUUUAUUUCGUCCUCAUGGAAUAUUUUGAAGAUGUUUUGUAGUGCAGGUUUUCUAGUUGUAAAUUCUUUUAACUUUUGUUUAUCAUGGAAGGUUUUUACUCCAUCAUAAAAUCUAAAGCUUAAUUUUGCUGGAUAUAAGAUUCUUGGUUGGCAUUCAUUUUCUUUCAGAACUAUAUAUAUAUAUAUUAUUUCAGCAUCUUUCAGCUUUCAGGGUCUGGAUUGAAAAAUUUGCAGAUAUCCUAAUUGGUUUCCCCCUAUAUGUACUCUGAUUCCUUUCUCUUAUGGCUUUUAAUAUUCUCUCCUUUUUAUGUAUGCCAGGUAUUUUCAUUAUAGUGUGCCUUGUUGUAGGUCUGUUGUGGUUUUGUAUAUUUGGUGUCCUGUAAGUCUCUUAUAUUUGAUUUUCCAAUUUAUUCUUUUUGUUUGGAAAUUUUUCUGAUAUUAUUUCAUUGAAUAGAUUUUUCAUUCCUUUAGUUUGAAAUGCUAUACCUUCCUCUAUCUCAGUAAUUCUUAAAUUUGAUUUUUUUUAUAUUAUCCCAUAACACCUGCAUAUUCUGUUCAUUGUUUCUUAUCAUCUUCAUUGUGUGGUUAACUUUAUUUUCAAGAUUAUAUAUUUUGUCUCCAUUCUCUGAGGUUCUGUCUUCCAAGUUAUCUAAUCUGUAGGUGGUGUUUUCUAUUGAAUUUUAAAAAAAAAUUUUUAGAUGUUAAUGGACUUUUAUUUUAUUCAUUUAUUUAUAUUCAGUAAUGAGAAUCAAGCCCAGUGCCUCUCAUGUACUAGGCAAGCGCUCUACCACUGAGGCACAAAUCCAGUCUCUCUAUUGAGUUUUUAAUUUCAUUUAUGUUUCUUUUAUUUCAAGGACUUCUAUUUUUGUUGUUUUUUUCCAGAACCUCUCCCUCCUUAUUGAAGUAAUCUUUUUAUUCUUGUAUUUGCUUACAUAGGUUUUUAUCACAAUGACCUUUUGCUGCCUGUAUUUCCUCUCUUAUAUUAUUCUUUAACUAACAGAAUAAUUUAGUUAUGUACUUUCUGAACUCCUUCUCUGUAAUUUCUUCUGCUGUUCUGACCAUGGAUUCUUAUAAUGUAGUAUCUUGGUUUGUUUGGGACACUUUCUUCCCUUGUUUUUCAUUUUGUUCAUGUGUCUUGCCUUCUAGCACUGCAGAUCUGAGGUAUUACAGUUUUUACCCUAUAGGCUUAUAGUGUCCCUGCAGCAUUUCAAUACUUUUUUGUUAAGAGGGAGAACAAUAUUAGCAGAUACCAAUACAUACAAUAUACAGCCUUAAACCAAAUAGCUGCUAUUAAGAUGUUUAUGGUUUUGUAACAAUAUACAGAAAUGAUGAAUUCAAUUAUUAUCUAUAAUGUAAACAGUAGGUUUGCAAAAGGGUCUACAGUUUCUGAUGGUAGACAAAGAGAGAAUCAGAGGUGGGGUGUAGGAUGAGAUGUUAAGGAGGUUAGGAGUUGAGGAUAUAGAAUUAUUAGAUCUUAGGAAGCAUGAAAGAGGAAUCAAAAGAAGUUGGCUAGUAGCAGGAGAAAAGAGAAAAAGUGAUUUUGGGGAGACAAGUAAGUGGGAAGACAAUAAAGAGUACAAAAAACAAACAAACGUAAAAAUUAAGAAAAAUAAAAAAUGUAAAAGCAGGAGAUAAAAGAAUAUACAACUGUAAUACAGUAUUCAGACAUCCCAGUCCUCAGUAGCCUAAUCCAUGAAAAGUACUUGGGUUCAUAGAUGUUGGGGAUAUGAAAGCGGGAAAAGAGAGAGAGAGAGUAAAGAAAAAACAAAAAGGGAGAAAAAAAUCUUGAAGGAAGAUACAAGGAUUGUUUAUGUUGGAGUUCAUUAUCUUUCCUGCUUCCCUUCUCAUCCAAUAGGUGGGGAUGUCUGUUGUUUGCCUAUAUCUUCACCCUCAGGAUAGUGAAGGUUAUUAGGAUGGUAGGGUUGGUCUUGGGGGGUGUGGCUCCUGGAGGUGAGGUAUAGCACUUGCUGGUCCCUGAUGGGAGACUGCACCCCAAAGGUCUUCAUGUGGGCACCUGGUCUUAUCUCAUUAUAUUGCCUUUAGACCUCACAAUUCCUGUCUCUAAUAUAGUCUCUAAACUGUAUCUCACUCACCCCCUCCCUUUCUACUUUCCAAUCAGGAACCUUUCUCUCCAGAGGUCUUGUGGGCUGUGCUCUGGGGGCUGCAAACCCAUUGUGAAGAGCUGUUUAGUAUCGGGCAGUUCAGGACCAGGUUUGACAAGCUAUUGAUCAGUCUCAUAGCCACAAGCACUAUGCCACAGAUAGCGGCUGUGGGGGAGAGGGAGCAGCUGGGGACUCAGUACCUUGAUAUUGCUUUGAAGCCUCAGCUGGCAUCCCAGGCUGGGAGUUGCCCCAACCAAAGAUGGUGACAAAGUUGUCCCAAGAUGGAGGCAGCUGCUUUCAGGGUGUUGGGUCAGGUGGGGUGUUGGGUCAGGUGGGGCUGGGCAGUGGUGUUGGGUGGUGUGUUCAGAGAUGUGGCUCUGUGGUGUGCAGUGUUGUGGCUGGCAGCUAUCUCCAGACCCUGUGCAGUGUCCCCAGGUAUGGGUCAUUGCAUGUAGGGGACUAUGGAAGUGGUUGUAGUGUCCCAAGAUGCAGGUGACCAGAGGAGCCCUGCGUUGGUAGAUAGGGGUCUACACCAGAGUGAUGGCCAGAGGUCCUGCAAAUGGGCAGUGGCUGGGUGUCCUGCAUGGGAGUGGUGGCCCAGAUUCCUAUGCAGAUGGGCAGCUAGGGAUCCUGCAUGUGUGCUGAUGUUGGUGGUCUUGCUCUGGCAUGGUGGUUGGGAUUUCUGCAUGGGAGCAGCUGUCAGGUGUCCUCUAAUAACUUGCAGAGAAACAGUAUUCCCACUACUUGAAUCCCAGGUCACAGAGGGACACAGAAUGCAGCCUCCCUCUAGCCCACCAUCUUGGAUCUCCCUAGUUGUUGAUUUUUCUAUUGCUCCUUUGUGUUCCUGAAUCUUUGUUUUGCAUAUUUUGUUGAUCUAUUAUUAGAUGACUGCACAUUUAGGAUGUCAAUGUUUUCUUGGUUGAUUGACUCUUUUGUCAUUUACAUAAUGUAGUUCUCUGUCUCUGAUAAUUUUCUAUGCUUUGAAGUCUACUUUUUCAGAAAUAAUUAAGGUACACUUGAUUUUACUUGAUUUAUGCUUGUAUGAUACAUAUAUUUUCAUCCUUUACUUCCAACACUAAAGGAUGAGGCAUUUGAAGUGAGUUUCUUAUAAACAGGAUUUUAAACACCUAUGCCAAUCUCUGGCUUUUAAUUGGUACAUUUAAAAUCCGUUGUGUUUGCCCCAUGGCUGGAUAAUCAAAGGCCCCAUGCCUUUAGUUGGUAGUAGAUUUGGUACAUACUGCCAUGGUGGAAGCAAAUAGGUGAAUGCAAGCAAGUAAAACAAGUGAUUGCAAUGUCAGAGAAUGAUAUGCAGAUUUGAAUAAAAUAGAUGCUGUUUAGGAAUAUAAGUUCAAAUCAUUUAUAGACUUCUUAGUUUUUUUUCUUACUAUCUUUUGUUUUGAUUUUCAAUCUAGAAUUAAAAAGAAAUAAUGAAAAUUUCCAGGUUUCACUAUUAUGGUAGUUAGCUGUACAUGAUGAGUAAAUUAGGAGAUUGUGGAAGCAUCAGUAUUAUAACCCUAUGAUAAAAAUGUAAAGUUUAAUAGAUCUUGGGACUUCAUAAUAAUUUCCAUUGGAAUUUUUGUUGAUUAAGCAAAUUUUCAAUGGAAACUAUUUUUUAGUCCUUCUAUUUUUAUGUGAACAUUCAAGGUGAAUUCAAUAAUUCUGUAUGAAUUUUUGAUUGACUCCAACAAGCUCCUUAAAUCAACAUUUUGGUUAAACGUGAAUGAGCCUAUCUCAUUAUUUAAUAGUAUAGUUAUUCUAAAAAUUGCAGUUCUACAAAGCUUUCUUCUGACUUACUUCUUAAAAAUAUAGACCUGAACUUCACUUUUAGUAUCUUGCCUGAAGAACAGUUACGUCUCAGGCACAAAAACCUUAGACAUCUACUGUUGUUCCACUUCUAUUUCUUCCUGAGUUAUCUCAUCAAUUUCCAAGAACAUAGUGACAAUGCAUAGGUUAAUAAUUUUCAAAUUCUGUCUCUUCCUGACACAAUUCCUUUCAAACUUUCUCUAUAUUUCUGAGUAUAUUUAUCUUUCUUCUUGGAUAUAUUGCAGUGUGCUCAAAUAAAACAUAUCCCAAACUGAAUUUCUUAGCUUUCCCGUCUCACACCACUCCUCCUUGUAUGAAUUCCUUUCUUCAUAAGGAAUGGUACCACAUCUGUAGUUUCUUAAAUUGGAAAGUUCUGUGAUAUUUGUUCCUUCUUCACUACUCUACAUUCAAGUCAUCACACUUACUUAAGGUCACCUGAAAUGUCCUUAAGUCUAGUAAUCUUUUCCAAUAUUAUCUCCAAGAUUUUGUUUACUGGAAAAAACUUUUGAUCUGAUUUUCCAAUACCGGUCUGGUCUCCUCUUACAUAGCCACAUUUUCCCAUUUGAGUUACAAUUCUAAAUUGUAAUAAUACCGUCAUUGACAAUAGCAAACUCCCACGUGUAUUGUUCUGCUAAACCAUCCCUGGCCUCUCAGGGAUCAUGAAGUAAACUUUUACCUUCAGGGAUGUGCCACCCAGUUAUGUCUCCUAUCACUUUUUCCCCUGGAACUCAUCCUCUAAUUUCAGUGAACUUUCAACUAUAUCUUCUAUACAACAUAGUAUUUCUGAGUAAGCUUCUGUACAUAUCUUUCUGUAAUUUCUUCCCUUUUAAAAUAGCUGUUCAUCCUUCAAAUUAAAAAUACAAACCACUAUGAAGACUUCCACAAAUUAUUCAUCUAGACUCCAGUGGAAUUGUGCUCAUUUUUCUUUGUACAAUUUGUGGCUACAAGGACUCUUCAAUUAUAUCAUGAGUUCUUGAGGGCUGAGGUUGAGUCUUAUUUAAUACUGUUUCUCAAGCAUGCCAGUGGUGAAUACUGGAUGUUAAUAAGUGUUGUACAAUAUAAAGAAGGGUAGUCCAGGACAGGUUAAAAGGAUUAGAAUUUACCAGAGGUAAGGGGAGCAAGAAGUCUAUUUACAACAGCAAGUUGUAGUAACAACAAUUUGGAGUAAGAUAGUGCUUGCUGUUGUUGUUUAUACCAACUUAUACCUUAGUGAAUGUUUUGGUUAUUUUACUAUUAGCUAUCAUUAUCUCUCUUUCACCUAAUAAUUAGUCACAAACCUUGUAAAAUGGUGGUUUUCACUUAUGUGUUGUUGAGUUUUACAUUGGAUUAGAAAGGCAGCAAAGUUGUAUGAGUUGGCAAAUUUGUAUGAGUUCAAUAUAGUUCUAUGGUUGGUUGGUCUGUUUAUCUACCUGUCUAUCUGUCAAUCUAUCUAUCUAUCUAUAUUCAGUACUGAGAAUUAAACCCAGAGGUAAUCUACCAUUGAGCUACAUGGUCUGAACUUUUUUUUUUUUUUUUGAGGCAAAGUCUCCCUAAUUUGCCCAGGCUGCCCUCACAUUUGAGAGUCUCCUGCCUCAGCCUCCAAGUAUCUGGGAUUACAAGUAUGUGCCACUGUGCCUGACUUCUCCUAGACUCUUAAAAACCUGAGUGAACUGUAGAGAGCAGACUUUCCCUAUCCCUGGUAUCCAUGGUGAACAACAGCAUUUACGGAGACAAACUCCUAAACUUUCCAUUUGAUUCUUCUUCUACAUUUAUUUUUCCUCUUGUCAAUCUAUGUGCUUUUCUAUCAGUCUGCUCUCCUCCAGAUUGACUGAAUGACUUUUCCAUUGUAACUUUUUCUCUGCUGUGGUAUCCUCAGAGAGUAACGGCUGUAUAAUUAUCCUCUAAUUUUAUAGGGCUGUUCAAACUGUCUUUCCUAUAUAUUUCUUUUAUGGAUAGUCCAAGGACAAGGGUAACUGAAAAGCGUUAUUAAAGACUAUAGGGUUAGAGAUAAGAAUGUGGCAAAAAAUAGGAAAUAAAGGAUCAGAUCAUAAGGUGUCUACUCACAUGAUGGAAUUUAAAAUGUAGCCUCUUAAUAUUUUUGAGAUUGCAGCCUGGUCUUCCAAUGAUGGCCUGCUCGGAUUCUAACAAACUAUAACAUCGUCAAUAAUUGAAUUCAUUUUUAAUGAAUAGGUGAUAUUCUAUCUCAGAAGCACAGUAGGCAUCAGAAUUCUGAAGCAAUUUUCUUCUAGUCUGUAAUCAAGCACUGAGGUAUCUGUAAGGAAAUGGAGUCCUUAAAUGUUGGAGGCAUUCUCAGAUGGAUGCUUUGCACAUCUAAAAUACUGAGCUCCUCAUCUACCUGCUAGCACUGCUUAGAUCUUUGGUCCUCACCUAGCAGCCCAGAGAAAGCCUCACCUGUAGGCAUUCUGCCAGGCCUUUCUUAAAACCGCAGCCUGACUUUGGUCUCUCUUUAUUCUUUAACUCCAUAUAAAUCGCCAACUGAUGACAAGGUUGCUACUUAACACUGGAUAUUUUUAUUCCCUGCAUUCUAUUCUGCUAUUUAGAUGGGAACCUUGGUUACCAAAGCACAGAUAAACUUGAACUGGGAUUUUGCUGUAUUCCUUGGGACUAGAGACUUGGUUAUGCUCCUUGUUAUCCUCCACCUCUCUGUUGUGGAGCAUCUGACACAUAUUCCUGUUGUCAUUAUAUUAUUUUAACUCUGUGCAUAAGACUGUGCUGAAAAUAUUUUCCCCUAUGUGAUGGUUUUCUUUUUCACUCAGUUGGUGAUAUCUUUCUUAUUUUUUUCCUGGUUCUUUGAAUAAUUAGAUUCUGCAAAUCUUGUGGCUUUUAUCUCAGAUGGAAAGUCUUCAGAAGGACCUUCUUUGUUCACCUAAUUUAGGAUUACAUAAAUGAAGUGUUUUAAGCAAGGCCGCAGUGUGAUCAGAUUUAUGUUUAUAGGAGCCCAGUAAACAUAUUCUUGAAAAAUCUUGAAGAGUUCUUGGUUGAUUCUGGCUUAAGAUUAUAGCAGCAGAGGAGAAAAGAAGUAUAUAAAGCCUGGGUAUAUUUAAUAAAAACUAUGGGAGUUGGUGGAUUAAAUGUAAAAGAUUGAGAGCAGGGGUAGCAGUGUGUCUGUCUCUUACAUUUCUGGAUUAAUUGUUUGGGUGCUUGAUGAUGCCACUCAAAAACAAAUUCUGAUCUUCAACUUCUUGCUUAGCAUUUUUUAGUACUUCCUCAAAGCUUUCAAGAUAAAGUCUAACUCUAAAAUUAGAUGUUAAAAGUGUAUCAAGAUGUACUUCUUGUCUACAUCUUAAUCUUAUCUAUGAUCCUCAACCCACCAAAAUCCUUUCAUUUAAGACACUUCAUAUGACUUGUAGUACCUGUGCAGUCUGACCACUUAGAAGAUCUUGGUUUCCCACAUACUCCUUACGCUAUAUCCUCCAUGCCUGAUUUUUCUGCUUGGUAUAGCCUUCAUUCUCUUCUAAGCUAACACUCUUUAAAUUUUCAGGGUCAGAUCUGUUGCCCUCUCUUCAGGUACACACAGCAUGAGUCGUGUUUUUGAGGCACACAUCUACCUUUUCACACCAUAACUACUAUUUCAUUGGCUUACUUUUCCAUCAGGGUUCAAGUUCCAUAUGAUCAGGGAAUAGGUUUCAUUUGUAGGUGUAUCACUACAACUGAAUACACAGUAGGUGUACAAUAUAAUGUCUAGCUGAAUAAAUGACUAAAUGAGUUGAUGAAUAAAUUAUUUCUGAUCUAAGGGAUAGUGAAAGAUUUCACAGGAUUAUUGCAACACUUUGAAUGAGACUCCUAGUUCUCGAAGCAGGGGUAGGAUUUAGACUGGCCUUGAUCUAGUAAUAAAAACACAUGUCCUGAGUUUUUGAGUGAAUAAAUGACAAAUGGGAAUGGAAUAUUUCCAGAUAUACAGAACAGUUUGAGUAAUAGCUAAAAAGCAACCUGGUGUAGAAUAUGGCUAAUUGUGAAUAAUUCCAUUUUGGCAAAAACUUAAAGGUAUUGGGGGGUACGGUGGAAAUCCAAAGGGAGAACUCUCAUAGCAUGUUCAGAUUUUUUAUUUUGAUUGUGUUAAAUGAAGGAUUUAUAGUUCUAUCAAAAUUGUUGUUCUCUGUAAGACAUAAUUUUCUUACUUGAUGAGAUGUGAUGAUAAUAGAAUUCUAGAGUCAUUAUAAAAUCACAUGUUUAUAGCAAAGUGGUUUUUUGGUUUCUCACUUAGCAUCUUCUGGAAAGAAGAUACCUAAUGCCUUCUUAUUGCUAAAGAGACCUCUUACCUUUAGGCUAACUAUUUAAUCUUAUAUGGAGGAAACUAAUAGAGAAGGAAGAAGAGGAGUGUGGUAGUGCAUAAUUACUGGUCAGAAUGAAGCUUUGAGAUUUCAACUGGCUUAAAAAAUCAUCUGCCAUGCUUAUACAAUCACUUGUAUUAUAAAUUCUGACAGAGAUAUUGGAAACUUAUGGUAAGAGUUAACAUCCAGGGGCUCUCAAAGAAUUGUAACAGCCUAAAAUAAAAGAAAUAUUUAAUGCACUUAAAGUGGUAUUGUAAAACUAUUUGAUUAUGUGUGUUAUUAAUGUUCUUGUGUUUUAGAUAACAUGAUCAGGUCAUCAUGGAGAAUUUGGAUUUAACUGAGUGAACCUGAAAGAUGAUCCUGGAUGACUCGACCUCAUUUGUGAUUUCUUCAUGGAGUUUGACUUUGCUCUUCUGUGACAUUGCAAAUAACAGGCACAGUUGCUUCAUUCCUUUCCAAACUCAUGUCCUGUGAUCUUCAUUUGCAAGGAGAUUGUUCAAACUUCUGUUUUUGAACUUCUGAGUGACAGAAUAGAAAUCCAGAACUUGUCUCAACUUUUUUCUAGGCUUCAAGGUCUCUGGCUUAUCACAGAAACCCAGUGAAACUUCUUUGCCUUUACAUAGUGCACAAAAUCCUUGCUCUAGGAAGGGGCAAGAAGGUAGAAGGAGUAUUUUAUAAUUAUUUAAGAAUUAGGCCAUAAUCUCAUUAAAAAAUACAGCACUCUACUUUGCACUCUGUUGGGACUGGAAAUUUUCCUUUAACUGGAUGAGAAUAUUACUGAGCUCAGGGGCUAUGCUGAUUAUAUACUUCAGUAUCUGUUUAGGGUAUAGUAUUCUAUUCUUAAUUAAUUUCCUAAAUAAAUAUUUGUGAACUGAUAUUUCCCUUAAUUCACUCAUAUUUUUUGUGGUUAUUAAGAUUACUUGUUACUAGAUAUUGACUAUAAAUGUUGGUGUUGAAAGGCUGCACUAUAAUCACUUGUAAUAGUGGACCACUCUAGGCUUAUUCUAGUUUCCUAGGCAGACAACCUAGUUAGGCAUGAUUAUAUCCCUGGGCUUACUUCUAUAGAACAGACAGAGACGUUAAUUCUAAAUAAAGUAUAAUAAAGC